CAUUCUACUAACUAUAAGUAACUUUUCAACUACAUGUCUACUAACUGUCAUUAGAGAAUUAGUAGACUGUUUGCUUAAUCGCUGCUAAAACCUUAUUGUGUUGGUCCCCCAACAGACAUUCUACUGUCUAUAAGUAACCUGGCAACUACAAUUCAACUUAUUCUCCUAACCUGAACACCUAACCUGACAGAGUUAGUUGACCUGAAGUUGAAAAGUUACUUAUAGUUAGUAGGAUGUCUAAAGUGAACUAUCGAAAUAAAGUCUAACCAAAUAGGGUAUAUUUGAUGUGGUUAUCUAAUCUCUUAAUGCAGAUUUAAAAUUUUUGGACCAUUUUCACAGACCUUGGUGAUGCCUUUCCCCCCAAAAAAGUAUUACUUUACUAUUAUAUACUUUACAUUGUAUUACUUGGGCAUUCUAUUAAAGAAACAGGUAUCACUUAUUGUGGUAAGGUUUGUAAUACUGCUGCUGAAGGAGUGAUGUUGAAUUAAAAAAUGUUCACCGCUGUUCUGUGGUUAUGGUUAAAUCAGGUUACAUGAGUCAGGCAAAGUGAUAUCAGAUAACACUGGCAGUACAAGACAGGAAGAAAUGUCAGCAACCAUGUCAGAGGAUUAUGCUGAAAGGGAGGAAAGGGCCUCAACAUCACUCACUACUUUUUUCUCAGCCACUACCAGCCCAUCAGCAGAGCCUGCCACUGAAGAGUGGAAAAUUGAGCCUGAUCUUGAAACAGCUGCCCGGCUGUUUCGAAGACAUAUCUUAAAGAAUGCUGAGGACAAACCAGACCUAGUUGUUACACUAGAUCUACACAGCUGUGAAAAGGAUCGAGAACGGGAAAUGUUAACUUUUUAUAAACGUCCAAAUAUUGAUUGGACAAGUCCGUUUACUGUAAAACUGAAAGGAGAUGCUGCAUUAGGGGAUGGAGUAACACGGCAUUUUUUCACAUUGGUAAUGGAUAAGCUCCACAAUGGAUUUGAACUGGACAUUGAUAACUGUGGAAAAACACUUUUAUUCAACGGAGAAGAUGAUCACAAGGUCCCUUCGACAUCUAGACCACUUUUGGAUGGUGACCUGUUCAGAGUUGUGGGAAGAAUGAUUGGACAUUCAUUUAUUAAUGGAGGUCCACUCUACUCAGGACUUAGUGCAGCUUUCUUCCCCCUUUUAAGUGGCAGUAAGGAUGAUACUCCAAUUUUGGAGUUGAAGGACUGUCCUGAUACAGAUGUGAUUGAAGUUGUGUCCCUUCUGGAAAGCCAGAAUGAACUAAAUCCGAACGAAAUGGACAGUAUCAACAAUCUGGCCAUCAGUUGGGACCUGCCAGCAGUCAGCAACAUCAACAGAAGAUGGUUGGCAGAAACCAUUCUCUACCAUGGGGUUAUUGGUCGACGUGAAAAACAGAUCGCACAGCUGCGGAGAGGACUCAAAGACACUGGUGUUUUGAGAAUGAUAAAAGAACAAACCAGUUUAGCUGCAGUACUGUUUCCCAGAUCUUCUGAACUAGUACUGGAACCAGAGGUCUUUUCUACUUUGAUACUUGCAGUGAACAAACAGUUUAUUAAUGGUUUCUGAUAAAACUCUAGGUAGUUGAAUGAAUUACUGAAUAAAUUUGGCUGCCCUGUGUUUAGCUUGUAUUAA
ensembl:lncRNA